rnacentral:rRNA from 1 species
UACGUAGGCAGCAAGCGUUGUUCGGAAUUACUGGGCGUAAAGAGUGUGUAGGCGGUGCUCUAAGUUUGUCGUGAAAUCCCUCGGCUUAACCGGGGAACUGCGUCUGAUACUGGAUGGCUUGAAUCCGGGGAGAGGGAUGCGGAAUUCCAGGUGUAGCGGUGAAAUGCGUAGAUAUCUGGAGGAACACCGGUGGCGAAGGCGGCAUCCUGGACCGGCAUUGACGCUGAGGAGCGAAAGCCAGGGGAGCAAACGGG